AGCGAACGCUGGCGGUAGGCCUAACACAUGCAAGUCGAACGGCAGCACAGUAAGAGCUUGCUCUUACGGGUGGCGAGUGGCGGACGGGUGAGGAAUACAUCGGAAUCUACUUUUUCGUGGGGGAUAACGUAGGGAAACUUACGCUAAUACCGCAUACGACCUACGGGUGAAAGCAGGGGAUCUUUUGACCUUUCGCGAUUGAAUGAGCCGAUGUCGGAUUAGCUAGUUGGCGGGGUAAAGGCCCACCAAGGCGACGAUCCGUAGCCGGUCUGAGAGGAUGAUCAGCCACACUGGAACUGAGACACGGUCCAGACUCCUGCGGGAGGCAGCAGUGGGGAAUAUUGGACAAUGGACGCAAGCCUGAUCCAGCCAUACCGCGUGGGUGAAGAAGGCCUUCGGGUUGUAAAGCCCUUUUGUUGGGAAAGAAAAGCAGCAGGUUAAUACCCCGCUGUUCUGACGGUACCCAAAGAAUAAGCACCGGCUAACUUCGUG
rnacentral:rRNA from 1 species